CAAUUAUACCGUGAAACUGCGAAUGGCUCAUUAAAUCAGUUAUCGUUUAUUUGAUAGUACCUUACUACUUGGAUAACCGUGGUAAUUCUAGAGCUAAUACAUGCUGAAAACCCCAACUUCGGGAGGGGUGUAUUUAUUAGAUAAAAAACCAACGCCCUUCGGGGCUUCUUGGUGAUUCAUGAUAACUUAACGGAUCGCAUGGCCUUGCGCCGGCGACGGUUCAUUCAAAUUUCUGCCCUAUCAACUUUCGAUGGUAAGGUAUUGGCUUACCAUGGUUUCAACGGGUAACGGGGAAUUAGGGUUCGAUUCCGGAGAGGGAGCCUGAGAAACGGCUACCACAUCCAAGGAAGGCAGCAGGCGCGCAAAUUAUCCAAUCCCGACACGGGGAGAUAGUGACAAUAAAUACUGAUACAGGGCUCUUUUGGGUCUUGUAAUUGGAAUGAGUACAAUUUAAACCUCUUAACGAGGAACAAUUGGAGGGCAAGUCUGGUGCCAGCAGCCGCGGUAAUUCCAGCUCCAAUAGCGUAUAUUAAAGUUGUUGCAGUUAAAAAGCUCGUAGUUGAAACUUGGGUCUGGCUGGCAGGUCCGCCUCACCGCGUGUACUUGUCCGGCCGGGCCUUCCUUCUGGAGAACCUCAUGCCCUUCACUGGGCGUGUUGGGGACCAGGACUUUUACUUUGAAAAAAUUAGAGUGUUCAAAGCAGGCCUUUGCUCGAAUACGUUAGCAUGGAAUAAUAGAAUAGGACGUGCGGUCCUAUUUUGUUGGUUUCUAGGACCGCCGUAAUGAUUAAUAGGGACAGUCGGGGGCAUCAGUAUUCAAUUGUCAGAGGUGAAAUUCUUGGAUUUAUUGAAGACUAACUACUGCGAAAGCAUUUGCCAAGGAUGUUUUCAUUAAUCAGUGAACGAAAGUUAGGGGAUCGAAGACGAUCAGAUACCGUCGUAGUCUUAACCGUAAACUAUGCCGACUAGGGAUCGGGCGAUGUUCUUUUUCUGACUCGCUCGGCACCUUACGAGAAAUCAAAGUUUU
rnacentral:rRNA from 1 species